AAUCAACGCUGGCGGCGUGCCUCAGACAUGCAAGUCGAACGAUUAAAGCUCUCUUCGGAGAGUGCAUAGAGUGGCGCACGGGUGAGUAACACGUAAGUAAUCUACCCUCGAGUGGGGAAUAACGUCCGGAAAAGGACGCUAAUACCGCAUAAUGCAGCGGCAUCAUAAGAUGACAGUCGUUAAAGAUUUAUCGCUUGAGGAGGAGCUUGCGGCAGAUUAGCUAGUUGGUAAGGUAACGGCUUACCAAGGCUACGAUCUGUAACCGGUCUUAGAGGACGGUCGGUCACACUGACACUGAAUAACGGGUCAGACUCCUACGGGAGGCAGCAGUCGGGAAUUUUGGGCAAUGGGCGAAAGCCUGACCCAGCAACGCCGCGUGAAGGAUGAAGUAUUUCGGUAUGUAAACUUCGAAAGAAUAGGAAGAAUUAAUGACGGUACUAUUUAUAAGGUCCGGCUAACUACGUGCCAGCAGCCGCAGUAACAC
rnacentral:rRNA from 1 species